GACGAACGCUGGCGGCGUGCUUAACACAUGCAAGUCGAACGGAAAGGCCCUGCUUUUGUGUGGUGCUCGAGUGGCGAACGGGUGAGUAACACGUGAGUAACCUGCCCUUGACUUUGGGAUAACUUCAGGAAACUGGGGCUAAUACCGGCUAGGAGCUCCUGCUGCAUGGUGGGGGUUGGAACGUUUCGGCGGUUGGGGAUGGACUCGCGGCUUAUCAGCUUGUGGGUGGGGUAGUGGCUUACCAAGGCUUUGACGGGUAGCCGGCCUGAGAGGGUGACCGGCCACAUUGGGACUGAGAUACGGCCCAGACUGCUACGGGGGGCAGCAGUGGGGAAUAUUGCACAAUGGGCGGAAGCCUGAUGCAGCAACGCUGCGUGCGGGAUGACGGCCUUCGGGUUGUAAACCGCUUUCGCCUGUGACGAAGCGUGAGUGACGGUAAUGGGUAAAGAAGCACCGGCUAACUACGUG
rnacentral:rRNA from 1 species